GUAAAUGAGCCAUCACAAGCAGAGUUUCUUGCAAGGCUGGCUCCAGGCAAACCUGUUAAGUGGACGUUUCUGGUGGCACCUUCAGUUUUCUCCAGCCUCGUCACACCUGGUGGGCUCCUUCCACUCCUUCAUGCAGACACUGCUGUCCCCCUCCAUCAACACCUUCCUUCAGGGAAGGAGCUGGAUCUCAUCUUCACUGGGACAAUGGCUGGGUUUAAACUGUCACAUAUGAAGCAAGCACUCUGUAGAAGAGAAGCUUCAACACAAAGUGCCUUUUGCAGUCUUGUUUUAGAAACACAUUCUUAUAGCUGCUCCUCAUGCAUAAUUCCAUUUUGCUGUCAACCCUUACGACU
rnacentral:lncRNA from 10 species